rnacentral:rRNA from 1 species
GACGUAGGGCGCGAGCGUUGUCCGGAUUAUUGGGCGUAAAGAGCUCGUAGGCGGCUUGUCGCGUCGACCGUGAAAACUCGCAGCUCAACUGCGAGCCUGCGGUCGAUACGGGCAGGCUAGAGUUCGGUAGGGGAGACUGGAAUUCCUGGUGUAGCGGUGAAAUGCGCAGAUAUCAGGAGGAACACCGGUGGCGAAGGCGGAUCUCUGGGCCUUGCCUGACGCUGAGGAGCGAAGCGUGGGGAGCGAACAGG